rnacentral:rRNA from 1 species
CACGUAGUUAGCCGUGACUUCCCCGCCGGGUACCAUCGCUCAGAAAGCUUUCCACUCUUUCUGCCUUUUGUCCCCGGCAACAGAGCUUUACGAUCCGAAGACCUUCCUCGCUCACGCGGCAUUGCUCGUUCAGGGUUCCCCCCAUUGACGAAAAUUCCCUACUGCUGCCUCCCGCAGGAGUCUGGGCCGUGUCUCAGUCCCAGUGUGGCCGUCCGCCCUCUCAGGCCGGCUAUGCAUCGUCGCCUUGGUGAGCCGUUACCUCUCCAACCAGCUAAUGCACCGCAGGUCCAUCUGCAUGCGGGACUCUUGUCCCCUUUCAAAAGAGAUGCCUCCUCUUGCUCAUCCGGUAUCAGUCCUUUCCGUUUCCAGUAACGUUCUACCCGCUCAUGCAGGCACGGUUCCCUACGUUGUUACUCCUACCGUUCGCCACUCGAUACUCCGAAGAUUACUCCGUUCGACUUCGCUAUGUAUUAGGCUAGUCGCCGCCAGUCGUUCACGUCCUGGACGACCG